rnacentral:rRNA from 1 species
CCAAGGAGUCUAACAUGUAUGCGAGUCAUUGGGCUCUACGAAACCCACAGGCGGAAUGAAAGUGAAGGACGGUUCGGCCGUCAGGAGGUGGGAUCCCUCUGCUUGGCAGGGGGCGCACCACCGGCCCGUCUCAUACCCGGCGCUGUUCCGGGAGGCGGAGCGAGAGCAUACACGUUGGGACCCGAAAGAUGGUGAACUAUGCCUGAGCAGGUUGAAGCCAGAGGAAACUCUGGUGGAGGACCGUAGCGAUUCUGACGUGCAAAUCGAUCGUCAAACUUGGGUAUAGGGGCGAAAGACUAAUCGAACCGUCUA